GACGAACGCUGGCGGCGUGCUUAACACAUGCAAGUCGAACGCUGAAGCUCAGCUUUUGUUGGGUGGAUGAGUGGCGAACGGGUGAGUAACACGUGAGUAACCUGCCUCCUUCUUUGGGAUAACGCCCGGAAACGGGUGCUAAUACUGGAUAUUCACUGGUCUUCGCAUGGGGGUUGGUGGAAAGGGUUUUUCUGGUGGGGGAUGGGCUCGCGGCCUAUCAGCUUGUUGGUGGGGUGAUGGCCUACCAAGGCUUUGACGGGUAGCCGGCCUGAGAGGGUGACCGGUCACAUUGGGAUUGAGAUACGGCCCAGACUCCUACGGGAGGCAGCAGUGGGGAAUAUUGCACAAUGGGCGCAAGCCUGAUGCAGCGACGCCGCGUGAGGGAUGGAGGCCUUCGGGUUGUGAACCUCUUUCGCUCAUGGUCAAGCCGCAACAAUGGUUGUGGUGAGGGUAGUGGGUAAAGAAGCGCCGGCUAACUACGUG
rnacentral:rRNA from 1 species